rnacentral:sRNA from 1 species
CUCGCCAUGCCUCUUAUCCUUGAUAAUGCACAAAUCGGCGAGU